rnacentral:lncRNA from 1 species
UAGUGUAGCUUCAGCUUUUAUUAAAAAAAGACAGACAUCACAUUUUAUAUUUCAGUAUAUUUUUAAACAAGGCCUUUUUGAUAAAGCUUUAGGUAUCUAAAAAGUGUCUACAUGAUUCACACCUGCAUGGAGCUUUGCAAAUCACACAGUAGUCACCAAGCACUAUAUUGCACAAAUAUCCACACAAUACCACACCAUUCUUAGCUUAGUCUACAUUGUAAAGUGCUAUUUCAUAGGAAGAAAUUUUUUCUGGAAAAGUAAGUAUCUGGAUAGGCAAGUACUGCUGAACUGUAUUUCUUUCCAUGGUAGUGGAAAAAACCUGAUAGUGUGUUGUCAGUGCCUCUGACAGUGUGUUUUAUUUAAUAAGCUGAAGUAAGCACCAUAGAGUAUUGUAGUGAAUACAUGCUAAGUAUUCAAGUAACACCAAAAGCCAAAUCAAUUUUUAAACUCACAAUGAGAUAAAACGGACAUAUCAAAAGGUAGAUAGAUGUUUAAAGUAGCAUAAGUCUCUGUCCAGUAGAAAAAGUAAUUGCAUAGCAAAGCACAUCCUAAAUGAAUGUAAGAUAAAGAUAUAGUAGAGGAAAAUAAAAAAACCCUGAAUUCCUAAAUUUUUUAUUUCUUACUUCCAUAUUCUCAAUUUUUUUUUUUUUUUUUUUUUUAAUAAAUGAGUCUGAGAUACUGGCUUCAUAUCUAAGAUAAAUUAUUCAGUUUAUGACUAUUUCCAUAAAGCAACAAAAGGCCAAAGCCUGGUGAUACUGAUCCACCUGCUUAUAAAUAAUCCAAAUGUGGAAUUGUGGAGUGCUAAUCACAAUAUAAAACCUCUAAUUUAGACCAGUUUCUGAAACAGAGAAAUCAAAAAUGAUACACUUGCAUGUGGAAGGAGAUUGGUCUGGGAAAAACAAAUGAGAAAGUUCAACCUUAUAAUGUAUAGCUUUAAGCCGAUAGUAGGUUUGGUAGAUGAAUGGUCCUUAUACAAUGAGAGAAGUCACAGAUACCGACGACAGAAUCCUGGCCUAUUUGACUGCUGGGCUCACACAGACAAGAACAUGAGUUAUCUGCUCAACAGAAUGUUCCAACGUGUCAAGUUUUCAGUGCUUGACUAGCUAAUCAUGGUUUAACAAAUGACUAAGGGAAAAGAAAGUGGCAGGAACAACAAAUUUUAACUGAAGAAAGAUUUGCUGCAUCUUACUACAACUUAAGUUGCUCUAAGAUCUGGAAAAGCAAGCAAAAUGUUUGUGUUACCUAUGAAGCUACUCAGGAACAUUCAAGUCUAGAAGCGACUGAAGAGCUGCAGGAGGCCCUCAGGCCUAAGCGGCUAGGUAAACAAGCAGAUUAAACUCAACAUUAAUGAAUGCUAAAUAAUACACAAAGUGGGGAAACCCUUAUGUGCACAGCUUAUUCACCACUACCAUUAGGAUUGUGCGAAAAACAUGGCAGAUGAAACUUUGUGAGCAUCAGCUUAAUAUUCGGUAUCAACCAAAAAGGCAAAUACGAUUUUAGGACCAUGGAAACAAGGAAAACCCAGAAUUUUGUCCUCCUUCACAGCAAUAGAGCAUAUGGAAGGCUUCUUCGGUCAGCCUCAGAAGGCAAAAGGAUAAAGACGACAGCAGGACGCUCACCAGUACAGAAUGGCUUCCAUCCAGUGAGAGGUAACAUAAAGGGCAGAGCAUGAGAAAGAAAGGCUAUGAUAACCAUCUAUUUACAAAAAAAAAAAAAAAAAAAAAA